GGGCUGGUAGUUCAGCUGGUAGAGCGCCGGCUUCGCAAGUCGGAGGUCCCGGGUUCAAAUCCCGGCCAGUCCA
rnacentral:tRNA from 1 species